GUAAGACACCACGUCAGAAGAGGGCGGGAUGAGGAUCUGCGGACACGGCUUUAGGGAGAGGAUCCGGAUUAGCGCCUACUUCAAACCAACCUCUUUUGCCCCCAAACAAGCGAGUUUUCCUCUCUCAGACGGGAAUGCAGAGGUCGGGGGAAAGACUCUGAAGCGGCUGGCAGGAGUGCGUUGGUUUUUCAGCAAAAAGAGGCCGAGUUGAGAAGUACCACCCAGCAGUAGACACCUGGAGGAGGCUUCCCUCCGCGUCCCCUCAGGAAGCCCCCUGGAAAUCUCAGAGCUGUGAUAUUUUCCCCUGGAGGUUGUGUUCUACGAGGAAAUGCAAGCAUUCCCCUAACUUCUGCCCAAAAGCACACACUCUGUUAAAUAAAAGGAAAGACAGAAUCAUGCGGACACGUGAGAAGACCUUGAAACUAAUGUUAAAGUCUGAAUUUUACCCUAGAACCUUAUUUGUGGUCCUAAAGCCCCACUGUGGGGACUCUGGUCCUUGGCUUUCCCUGACACAGUGGAUUGAACCUGUAGUGUCCAGCACAGUUACCAAGAGGGUCGUUAAAACAAAACUCGCCGGGCCGUCUCCCUGGUUUCUGAUUCAGUAGGUCUGGGACGGGGUCUGAGUUUCAUUUCCACAAGCCCUCAGAUGCUGCCGACACUGAUGGUCUGACACAGAUACAAGAACUGCUGCUUUAAGAAAUGAAAGAGGUGAAUCAAAGGACCGAUGUUGACUUCCUUCCACGACCAUGCCCGUCACAGAAAGCUCUCCAGACACAGCCAUUAAGAGACCCAAAGGCCAAACUGGGGGGACCCAGUAGCACAGGCUUAAUACCCCUGGCCUGGCAGCCCUGCAGCUGCUGGGUUUCUCUUGGUGUGUGCCCUUACUCUCAGACUGCGCCGUCUCCCACAGGGUCUGUGACGGGAGUAUGUACUCCAGGCUGGGCUGACAAGCACACGUGGGCAGUGGGCAAGCCAAGGUGGUGGCCCCCAUGGCUCUGACAAGGUUGACUGAGGGUUCAUGAAUAUAUAAAGCUCCUUUCAGUUAUAAAGGGCGUUAUUCUCAGGCUUUGGUCAUCUGAGAACAGUGUCCC
ensembl:lncRNA